rnacentral:lncRNA from 1 species
UCUGCUAUUGUUUACUUUGAACCUUAUCGCAUACUUUUUCCAAGAACUAUGAUUUUCUACAUCUCCAGAGCAACUAUGAAUCCUACAAGAAACACAGCAGUUUGGUCAUCUGAAGAAUUAAGUAAAUUUUCGUUUGAAGGUCAUCAUAUGAUUUCAAAUACAUUUAUAUGCCAACAGUUAUUUUUCUGCAGUUGAAAACUCAAAGUAUAAAAGAAGAACCAAAUUGACUGACGAGCAUCUACAAUUCCUGGUGAAAAUAAUUUCUAAUUAUUCGUUUCUAAGGUUAUAAACCUUACCAAAACCUAAACACCAUGACAUGUUUCGUUUUAGGUAGUUGAAAGGUGUAAAAAAUAAAGAAAUUAAUAAUUCUUUAUUCAUAAAUAUAUGUACUUUUUCUGUGUGCAUCGAGGGAAAUUUCAAUAAAUACAAGAAAGGGUA